UACGUAGGGGCAAGCGUUGGUCCGGAAUCAUUGGGCGUAAAGAAGCGUGUAGGCGGCCAGAUAAGUCCGCUGUGAAAUCUCGAGGCUCAACUUCGAGCUGUCGGUGGAAACUGUCUGGCUAGAGUCCGGAAGAGGAGAAUGGAAUUCCUGGUGUAGCGGUGAAAUGCGCAGAUAUCAGGAAGAACACCCGUGGCGAAGGCGGUUCUCUGGGACGGUACUGACGCUGAGACGCGAAAGCGUGGGGAGCGAACAGG
rnacentral:rRNA from 1 species